CCCGCUGAACUUAAGCAUAUCAGUAGGCGGAGGAAAAGAAACUAACGAGGAUUCCCCCAGUAACGGCGAGUGAAGCGGGAGCAGCCCAUGACGGAAUCGUCGCAGCAGGCAGUAGUGACGAAAUGUGUCGUGGAGAGGGCAGAGCGUGGACGGACAGUCGGCAUGUUCCCUGGAAAGGGACGGCAGAGAGGGUGAGACCCCCGUGGCCUUCUGGUUCGGUUCAUGGCACACUGACCCCAGCGAGUCGGAUUGUUUGGGAAUGCAAUCCCAAUUGGGUGGUACGCGCCAUCUAAGGCUAAACAAGGGCAAGAGACCGAUAGCAAACAAGUACCGUGAGGGAAAGAUGAAAAGGACUCUGAAGAGAGAGUCAAAAGUGCGUGAAAUUGCGGCAAGGGAAACGAACGCGAGGAUGAGAGGGAUGGUUUGUUUUGUCGUCUUGCAGGUGGCGGAGGUGGCAGGUGACACUGCACGUACAGCGACACGACAGCAGGCAGCCAAGACAAACCAUUUCGCUAGUUCGUGUUUGACCCGUCUUGAAACACGG
rnacentral:rRNA from 1 species